rnacentral:lncRNA from 1 species
GUAAUUGAAAAAGCAAAAUAAGCCCAUCAGAAGCAUUCAUUUUUAUCUCUUUCUUAGAUGAGGAGAAGCAAUGAGAAAACAAACAGUACUGCAGAGGUCUUUAGGCGUUAGAGGCAGAGUGAAUGGAACUGCUUUUUAUAAAGUGAUAUGACAGUGUGUAAUGGCAGGAAUAGCACUGCAGCACCUCAUGGAGCACCUCUGCUGACAGACUCACCAGUUUUGUUACGAAGCACGCUCUCUCCUUGUGGCAGCAGCUACAUGAGGACUAUGAGAAAACAGGCUUACAUAAGAAAAGGACAUACUUCCAACAAAUCUCUAUGAACUGGGACACAAGGCCUGAGGGUAGUCUCUGAACAUGCAGACCAGUUUCCUUUCCAAUGAAAGUGAAGGAGCAGAUUCAAGAACUGCACAUAAUGUACCCUAGUCAUUAAUGGAUCCUCAUUGUAGUUACUCCAAAUUAAAACUCCUGAAAUUUGCGUAGUUUGGAUGCCAGUAAUAGUUUUUUUCUGCAUUGUCUUGCACAACUUGUAAACACAGAUGUAGCCAUAUACUGAGCUUAUACCUUCUCUUCCUUUGUUACAGUUGAAGAAAUAUGGGGAGGAGGAAGAAAAUAAAAGAUGACAGGAAAAUACA